UGGGGAAUAUUGCACAAUGGGCGAAAGCCUGAUGCAGCAACGCCGCGUGAGCGAUGAAGGCCUUCGGGUCGUAAAGCUCUGUCCUCAAGGAAGAUAAUGACGGUACUUGAGGAGGAAGCCCCGGCUAACUACGUGCCAGCAGCCGCGGUAAUACGUAGGGGGCUAGCGUUAUCCGGAAUUACUGGGCGUAAAGGGUGCGUAGGCGGUCUUUCAAGCCAGAAGUGAAAGGCUACGGCUCAACCGUAGUAAGCUUUUGGAACUGUAGGACUUGAGUGCAGGAGAGGAGAGUGGAAUUCCUAGUGUAGCGGUGAAAUGCGUAGAUAUUAGGAGGAACACCAGUAGCGAAGGCGGCUCUCUGGACUGUAACUGACGCUGAGGCACGAAAGCGUGGGGAGCAAACA
rnacentral:rRNA from 1 species